AACGCACCUUGCGCUCCUUGGUAUUCCGAGGAGCAUGCCUGUUUGAGUGUCAUGAAAUCUUCAACCUACAAGCUUUUGUGGUUUGUAGGCUUGGACUUGGAGGCUUGUCGGCCGUUAUCGGUCGGCUCCUCUUAAAUGCAUUAGCUUGGUUCCUUGCGGAUCGGCUCUCGGUGUGAUAAUGUCUACGCCGUGACCGUGAAGCGUUUGGCAAGCUUCUAACCGUCUUAUAAGACAGCUUUAUGACCUCUGACCUCAAAUCAGGUAGGACUACCCGCUGAACUUAA
rnacentral:misc_RNA from 1 species